AUUGAACGCUGGCGGCAUGCCUUACACAUGCAAGUCGAACGGUAACAGGUUAAGCUGACGAGUGGCGAACGGGUGAGUAAUACAUCGGAACGUGCCCAGUAGUGGGGGAUAGCCCGGCGAAAGCCGGAUUAAUACCGCAUAUGAUCCAAGGGGGAAUGGGGGGGAUCGCAAGACCUAUCGCUAUUGCAGUGUUCGAUGCCAGAUUAGCUAGUUGGUGGGGUAAAAGCUCACCAAGGCGACGAUCUGUAGCUGGUCUGAGAGGACGACCAGCCACACUGGGACUGAGACACGGCCCAGACUCCUACGGGAGGCAGCAGUGGGGAAUUUUGGACAAUGGGCGCAAGCCUGAUCCAGCCAUGCCGCGUGCGGGAAGAAGGCCUUCGGGUUGUAAACCGCUUUUGUCAGGGAAGAAAUCCUUUGGGUUAAUACCUCGGGAGGAUGACGGUACCUGAAGAGUAAGCACCGGCUAACUACGUG
rnacentral:rRNA from 1 species